rnacentral:rRNA from 1 species
GGUGAACGCUGGCGGUAGGCCUAACACAUGCAAGUCGAACGGCAGCACAGUAAGAGCUUGCUCUUACGGGUGGCGAGUGGCGGACGGGUGAGGAAUACAUCGGAAUCUACUUUUUCGUGGGGGAUAACGUAGGGAAACUUACCCUAAUACCGCAUACGACCUACGGGUGAAAGCAGGGGAUCUUCGGACCUUGCGCGAUUGAAUGAGCCGAUGUCGGAUUAGCUAGUUGGCGGGGUAAAGGCCCACCAAGGCGACGAUCCGUAGCUGGUCUGAGAGGAUGAUCAGCCACACUGGAACUGAGACACGGUCCAGACUCCUACGGGAGGCAGCAGUGGGGAAUAUUGGACAAUGGGCGCAAGCCUGAUCCAGCCAUACCGCGUGGGUGAAGAAGGCCUUCGGGUUGUAAAGCCCUUUUGUUGGGAAAGAAAAGCAGCAGGUUAAUACCCCGCUGUUCUGACGGUACCCAAAGAAUAAGCACCGGCUAACUUCGUG